rnacentral:ncRNA from 1 species
NNNNNNCAGGUUAAUAUUCCUGUACUUGGUGUUACUGCGAAGGGGGGACGGAGAAGGCUAUGUUAGCCGGGCGACGGUUGUCCCGGUUUAAGCAUGUAGGCGGGAAGUUUAGGUAAAUCCGGACUUCUUUUAACGCUGAGGUGUGAUGACGAGGCACUACGGUGCUGAAGUAACAAAUGCCCUGCUUCCAGGAAAAGCCUCUAAGCAUCAGGUAACAUCAA